AACGAACGCUGGCGGCAUGCCUAACACAUGCAAGUCGAACGAAAUGUUCGGACUUAGUUGCGCCCGGGUUCGUAACGCGUUGGAAUCUGCCCUUGUGUACGGAAUAACUCAGAGAAAUAUGUUCUGAUACCGUAUAAUAUCUUCGGACCAAAGAUUUAUCGCCCAAGGAUGUGCCCGCGUAAGAUUAGCUAGUUGUUGGGGUAAAAGCCUACCAAGGCGACGAUCGUUAGCUGGUCUGAGAGGAGGAUCAGCCACACUGGGACUGAGACACGGCCCAGACUCAUACGGGAGGCAGCAGUGGGGAACAAUGGACAAUCGGCCAAAGUCAGAUACAGCGACGCGGCGUGAAUGAUGAAUGUCAUAGAGCGGCAAAGCUCUGUUGACAGCGAUGAUGAGGACAGUACCUGGAGAAUAAGCUCCGGCUAAAUGAGUG
rnacentral:rRNA from 1 species